rnacentral:rRNA from 1 species
UGGGGAAUAUUGGACAAUGGGGGGAACCCUGAUCCAGCCAUGCCGCGUGUGUGAAGAAGGCCUUAUGGUUGUAAAGCACUUUAAGCGAGGAGGAGGGUACUGGUAUUAAUACUACCAGGUACUGGACGUUACUCGCAGAAUAAGCACCGGCUAACUCUGUGCCAGCAGCCGCGGUAAUACAGAGGGUGCGAGCGUUAAUCGGAUUUACUGGGCGUAAAGCGUGCGUAGGCGGCUAAUUGAGUCGGAUGUGAAAUCCCCGAGCUUAACUUGGGAAUUGCAUUCGAUACUGGUUAGCUAGAGUGUGGGAGAGGAUGGUAGAAUUCCAGGUGUAGCGGUGAAAUGCGUAGAGUUCUGGAGGAAUACCGAUGGCGAAGGCAGCCAUCUGGCCUAACACUGACGCUGAGGUACGAAAGCAUGGGGAGCAAACAGG